rnacentral:rRNA from 1 species
AUGAAUAAUGGAACAUUUGGGACCACAGAUGUGACCAACUCUCCAUUCUGCAGUGUUGGGCUGCUAUGGGCACUACAACAACAAUGUGCACAUAAGUCAUGGAUUCUAUUCAUCCGCCUUAUUCUCUACAGCCCUCUUUCUCUGCAUUUAGGCUUGAAUUUGAUGAUUGAUACCAUCACCAUCAUGGUGCAUAGUAUGUAUGCAAAACAUUCUUAUCAUGCUUCAGCUCUUAAUGUCAAACAAGUUGGAGGAAUUGAGGCCAGGAUCAUGGAAAUACUUUCGUGUUUUGUCACAAUACAAUCUUCAACAGUAAAACCGCAACAGCCAAUACAGUUGGCACUAUUCACCGUCAAGCACAGAAGCAGAGGUGUUGUACUGUUCCACUACGUCCCUGCGGGAGGAUCAACCACACCUGAACAUUCUGAAUCAUAG